CUUAUUUUGUCUCUUUAAUCUGAUGACUUUUUUUACAAGACUUUUUCAAAUGUUUUGUAUCAAGUCUUUUUUCAAUAUGCACCUAACAGACAAAGGUCUAUUUUAUUUUAGACAGUGGCUGGUGCUGCCUGAUGACUGUGAAUGUAAUUAGGGUUGUUUGCCCAGAAGUAAAAUCCUUGUUUUAAGACAGUCACAUGAUGCUUAAGUUCCAGGAACAUUUUAGAUAUUUAUUAAAAGUGGUGGGUGAGGGUAAAAAUUUACAGAGGUUAAUAGAAAUUAUUCUGUAGGAUAUGUAAUAAAUGAAAUCCUCUGUCCUUAUUAUCAUGUGUUUUACUUUUUUCAACUGCGCCUUGCUUUUUGUUGCCUAAUGAUUGAGGCUCAUUGUUAGUCCAAAAUGUGUGAAGGAGUCUCCCUUUUGCCUGUCCCCACCCACCCAUCCGUAAUGGCAUGUCAUUUAACCUGUAAAUUACUUAUGUAUGUAGUGCUUCUUUUAAUUUUAAAAUUAGUAUAAUCAGUCUACAUAAAGUCAUGAGAUAAUUUAGUAGGGAAUAAAUGGCAACAUCGAUACUGCAUUCAGCAUGGAUUUGGGAAGACCAAUUUGUGCUCUGUUGUCUUUUCACUGUGUGCCAGGAGGCCAAAAGGGGUCUAUAUUUCAAAUGUAACAUGUGUAAAAGCCAUUAGAGCAGCUCGUAUCACCAAAAUCUGAUUUAUUUACAGUACUAUUCUUCCCUACAAAAGUUAUUAGACAUCCAAGAAAUUAUUCUGAUGGAGUAUUGUCACCUAUACAAUUAUUAAAAUCUGUAAUAAAUUGUAUUUUGAUUUUAUUUUGUAUUUUCCAUGAAGGAUUCAAUUAAUGGCCGAAGUUGAAUAUCUCUUGUUCUUUGUACAUUUUUUUUAUCAAUCUUUACUUCAUUCUUUAUUUUUCAGAUGAGAGUAAAGCGCAUGCUGUGCCCCAAUGCACCAGCACUGGACCGGAAAUGCCAGGUAUGAUGGGAGGAUUCUACCAGCCUGGUAUGCCUCUGCAACCAAACCAAAUGAAUCACCCAAUGUUCCAAAUGAACUUGUCAUGAAGUUACUCCAAGUUCAAACAGGUAAGACUUAUUCCCUGCUCAAAUAUUUUUCUUCCCUUUCCCCUUCUUUUAGGGCUGUGCGAAUAUUCGCAUUCCGAUUUCGCGCCGCGAAUAUUCGGUGAAUAUUCGCUUCGUCUGCCUCGCGCACUAUUCGCAAAUUACGAAUAUUCGCGCCGUCGCGAUUAGUGAAUUUUGAACGACAUUUUCAAAUAUUCGCGCCAUCAAAACUGAUGAAUUUCCGACUGAAACUUCGAGGACCUGCGCAAGGCUUCCCCUCUCCGAGACAUCGCGACGGCGGAUCUCUUUUGAUCUUCACCGACUUUG
rnacentral:lncRNA from 1 species